rnacentral:rRNA from 1 species
UGAUCUGCCUACCAUGGUGAUAACGGGUAACGGGGAAUCAGGGUUCGAUUCCGGAGAGGGAGCCUGAGAAACGGCUACCACAUCCAAGGAAGGCAGCAGGCGCGAAAAUUACCCACUCCCGGCACGGGAAGGUAGUGACGAAAAAUACGAAUACGGGACUCAAUCGAGGCUCCGUAAUUCGAAUGAGUGCAAUCUAAAUCCUUGAACGAGGACCAAUUGGAGGGCAAGUCUGGUGCCAGCAGCCGCGGUAACUCCAGCUCCAAAAGCGUAUAUUAAAGUUGCUGCAGUUAAAAAGCUCGUAGUUGGAUCUGGGUCGUGCGUUCACAUGUCGUUGUUUGGUUCUGGCUUCGGUCAGUUUCGAACGAUGAUGAGGUGGUCGCGCAGCCUUUCAGCCGUGUCUGCGUGAGCAGGUGUUGGCUGGCCGGUGGGCUUGCUUGCUGGCCAGUUGGCAUGUUUCCUGAUGCCUUUAAACGGGUGUCGGGGGCGUACGGCACUUUUACUUUGAACAAAUUUGAGUGCUCAAAGCAGGCCCAUGUGCCUGAAAAGUCUUGCAUGGAAUAAUGGAAUAGGACUUCGGUUCUAUUUUGUUGGUUUCCGGAUCCGAAGUAAUGGUUAAGAGGAACAGACGGGGGCAUUUGUAUGGUGGCGUGAGAGGUGAAAUUCUAUGAUCGUCGCCAGACAAACUACAGCGAAAGCAUUUGCCAAGAAUGUUUUCAUUGAUCAGGAGCGAAAGUCAGAGUUUCGAAGACGAUCAGAUACCGUCCUAGUUCUGACCAUAAACGAUGCCAACUGACG